ensembl:lncRNA
UUGUAUUAAGAAAUAUUUUAUUAACAAAACAGUAAAUUCCACUUGCUUAGCAUUUCCAAUAAUGGAUAAGUUGGCCUUGCAACAGAAAAACAAAACAAAACAAAACCCUUAGAUACCCAAUCACACAAAGCACUAGAAGGGUAGGGUCAUGUGGCCUUUCUUUGAUGUCUUAGGGAUGGACCACCUCACACAUUAUUGUAGUAUUUGUUUUUUGUUUUUUUAAAAAAAAGGCAACACAUAACAUGGAUUAAAAAAGAAGCAUACUCAAUCAGAAAAGUUACAGUCUAGAGAUGUAAUCAAAUUUAUGCCAGGUAGUGUGAAAUCCUCUAUUAACUGCCAACUACACAUGGAACCCUGAUACAUUUGGUAUGAAGAUACUUGGGAUUUCAUUCAUGCCUUUUCUCUCCCUAGCUUGUGUUCUCUUUUCUUUGUCCAUUCACAAAGAAAGAAGCAAACAAGAAAAAAAUUUGCUAGAUUUCGUAUAGGCCAUUACAUUGGAAAUAUUUUUAGUAACAAUAUUGCAUGAAAUUUAAAAAUUUAUGCUGGAAAGAAACACUGAAAUCAAUUUCAAACAACAUGCUUCAGAGAUAUACUGCUUAAAAAUACCAUUAUUUUGGUUAUUUUCGAUCACAAUUUAGAAUCUUUCCGGAUGGAAACUAAUUCAAGUUCAGUAGAUUAAAUGGAAAAGCAACUGUUUCUUUCAAACCUCAAGGUGUAAAUGAGUGGUUUUAUAUUUACCUUCUGUUUCACUGGCUUUCCCUGAGUAAGACUGGAUGAGAGGAAAACAGCAACUACAAAGAAAUUUAUGAAUUCUUUAACCUGGCAAAUUAAAAAGAAGAAAAUCUGAAACACAAGUAAUUGAUACUAAAUUUUUAGUUUCAUACCUCUACUUUCUGGGUCAUGAAAAGCCUUUAGGACUUUUCAUAUAUGACAAUUACUUGGCAACCAUAGAUGGUGGUGAUUUGCUAUGAAUUAUACAUAUAUCUAAGGUGCUGUAUGUCUAUAAUCCAGGCCACUUCUUGGCUUUUUUCAUCAACUGAAGUUUCACAAAAGAUGUUUUGCAUUUUUUUGCCUUUUCUGAUUAAAGCAAAUUGUAAAAUUAUUCUUCUCUUCUAUAAAAUCUAAUAUUCUUUUAGGAGAUGUUAAAGUAAUGCAACCAAUUUUUACUGAGACAUCACCUUCCAAUCUAAUACUGCAUUUCCUUUGCAUUGCCUUCUCAGACUAAUAAUUUAUUGCUAUGAACAUCAUUGAAACAAUAUGCAAAACAAGCAUAUAAUCUAUAUGUUUCCACUACUUAAUGUGUGUUAAACUAAAGCUAUAUUUAAUGAUAUAUAUGUAAAACCAGAAAAGUUAAAUUAUAGUCAAUAAUCAACAGAUAAUGAUUUUCUUAAAUGGAUAGUAAUAUAGAAUCAAAAAUUACUGAAAAUACUUUUUUAGUUGCGAAAGUGUUUACUUUCCAAAAAUGUUUAUCAUGCACAUCAGGUUCAGAGACUAUAUAUAUAUAAUUUCAUUGGAAACAAAGUUUUCAAUUGUAGCAGCCAGGGUUAAGGUAUAGAUCAAUCAAUUUUGCUUCUGCAACCUGCCCACUUAAUGGUUCAUAUUCAUGCAGCAAGAUACCAGUGAUAGUUUACUUGAUAAGAAAAUGUUCCAUUUCUUUAGGGACUAAAAUCUUCUGGAAGUUUCCCAGGAGCAUAUCUCAGUGAAGCAAAUCACCCCAUUUGUCAUCAAUAUCUUGGCACAACUAUCUUCCUUCCUGCUUUUCAAUAUGUCAGUAAAUAUUUUCUAUUAUAUGUACGUUUGGGUCUUCCAUCCUGUCUGAUGGAUUCCUCUGGAUUUGUGUGUGUAUUUGUGUGUGUGCACAUAUCUGUGAUCAUGAAUGGGAAUGUAUGUGGGAAAUGUGAGUAUUUAGGGGAGUAAAGAAGACUAUAGGAUACAUAUGUAUAUAGUUUGCCUUCUAAUCCACACCUUUCAUACAAAUACUAAAACUUAAUUGCAACAGAAUGAAGGCUGUACAUGUAAAGGAAAAAAAGUAGCUGAGUCUUUUUA